GUCCUGUGUCAGAGAUGCCAGGCUGCUUUCUGUAAUGAACAUAGAUUCUUCGAAGAGCCUUCACACCGCAACCACUGAAACAUCAAGAAUCCGAGAUGCUGAUUCAUUUAAAGCUGGAGGACAAACAGCUGACGAGGUUUGGAGAAGGCCGCCCCCUGCCGCCACUGAGGACAACUACACUAAUACAGACAAGAGCGCCUCAAACAGUUACACACUCAAGAGUUGGGGUUUUUGCCGUAUGCAACUGGCUACCAUCUCCAAUGCUUGUGCAAAACAGAAAAACUGGUAAGUCAGGAGCUGGACGAAAAAGGGGGUGAACGGUGUGCCGAGAGCCAGAGAGACCCGGGAUGAUGAAAAGAGAAAGGAGGAUCGGAUCACCUCGCCCACAGAGCCUCUCACCUCGACACACUGAGGGGGGAUCGACACAUUGCCAAUAUGGCCAGCUUUCAAGCAAUCACCCCUUGAAGCUUCUCUGUGGGGAAGCUGAGGGAUCCCCCACAUUGCACUGUGGGAAACGCCAACCUCAGCUCCGGGCCACCCCUCGCAUAACUUCAGGUAAACUAGUCUAUGCAGCAGAGUGAAU